UACGUAGGGGGCGAGCGUUGUCCGGAGUUACUGGGCGUAAAGCGCACGCAGGCGGUCUGCUAAGUUUGGAGUGACAGUUGGUGGCUUAACUGCCAAAGUGCUUCGAAAACUGACAGACUUGAGGGCUUCAGAGGGACACGGAAUUCCGGGUGGAGUGGUGAAAUGCGUAGAGAUCCGGAGGAACACCAAAGGCGAAGGCAGGUCGUCCUGGGGCGACUGA
rnacentral:rRNA from 1 species